rnacentral:rRNA from 1 species
CCCUUAGACGUUCUGGGCCGCACGCGCGCUACACUGACCAGUGCAACAAGCAUCCGUCCUUGGCCGACAGGCCCGGGCAAUCUUUGAACGCUGGUCGUGAUGGGGAUAGACUUUUGCAAUUUUUGGUCUUCAACGAGGAAUUACUAGUAAACGCAAGUCAUCAACUUGCAUUGAUUACGUCCCUGCCCUUUGUACACACCGCCCGUCGCACCUACCGAUUGAAUGGUCCGGUGAAGCCUCCGGAUUGGCGCGCACCUCGGUGCCGCCGAGAAGUUGGCUAAACCUUACCAUUUAGAGGAAGGUGAAGUCGUAACA